rnacentral:tRNA from 1 species
UCCCUGAUGGACUAGUGGCUAAGACUUUGUGCUCCCACUGCAGCAGGCCUGGGUUCAAUCCCCGGUCAGGGAA